AAAGACAGACAUGCCUGGGAAGAACACCUCAAAGACAGACAAGACAGACAUGCCUAAGAGGAUAACCACAAAGACAGACAUGCCUGGGAAGAACACCUCCAAGACAGACAUGCCUGGGAAGAACACCUCCAAGACAGACAUGCCUGGGAAGAACACCUCCAAGACAGACAUGCCUGGGAAGAACACCUCCAAGACAGACAUGCCUGGGAAGAACACCUCAAAGACAGACAUGCUUGGGAAGAACACCUCAAAGAC
rnacentral:lncRNA from 1 species